rnacentral:rRNA from 1 species
AGCGAACGCUGGCGGCAGGCUUAACACAUGCAAGUCGAACGGCCUUUUCCGGUGUCAGGUGGAGGCGGGGGAGGAACACGGGGGAAAGGUCCCUUUGGUUCGGAAUUACUCAGGGAAAACUUAGCUAAAACCGGAUAAGCCCCUUUGGGGAAAGGUUUACUGCCGAAGGAUCGGCCCGCGUCUGAUUAGCUUGUUGGUGGGGGAACGGCCUACCAAGGCGACGAUCAGUAGCUGGUCUGAGAGGAUGAUCAGCCACACUGGGACUGAGACACGGCCCAGACUCCUACGGGAGGCAGCAGUGGGGAAUAUUGGACAAUGGGCGCAAGCCUGAUCCAGCCAUGCCGCGUGAGUGAUGAAGGCCUUAGGGUUGUAAAGCUCUUUUGUCCGGGACGAUAAUGACGGUACCGGAAGAAUAAGCCCCGGCUAACUUCGUG